rnacentral:misc_RNA from 1 species
GCCGGAACGCGACGAAGGCUGGCGUCUUUUUUCACGGCCCUGACUUCCUGAUGACAGUAGUAGCCUUGAGUAGAGGCUCGAGAGAGAGUGGAGGAACCGACGCUGAGUCGAGCAGAGCAAGCAGGCGUUACAACGUUACAACAUUACGACGAUGAAGAGGAGCCGACAGACAAUGUAGCAGUAAUCGAGUAUAUCUACGUAUAUCUACGUUGCGAAGCACGAGGAACGGAAAAGGGGAAUUUCUUGCACGCCAACGCGCGUGCAACUUAGGUUUCUCCCCCUUUAUAUUGUUGCAAUAUGGAUAUCAGUCACGAGCGUGCAUCUACCUUCGAAACCUCCCCUGUUCGUUCUCCGCUUCCGAACGAACAUUCACUGGAAGACAAUGCGGCAAUCAACAUUGUUCAACCGAAGAAUCGAUUCCACCGCUGACUUCGGUAUAACAUAGUUGCUGGAAAAUGUACAACGAAAUUGUAAAAUUAACACGAUUAUCAAAGCGCUAAUUUUAGAUAUCGAAAGUAGAAACUUGAGAAUUUAUGGUCAGUGGUGUGUUUUAGCAUUAAUUUUGUUCUGUAAUCUUAAUUUUAUUUUCAUUUACAUUUUAAGAUACUAUCGUAGUGUAUUUGUCCAUGAACAGAUAAAAGAAGUCCAGAAACGAAUUAUUUUUCAUUUCUUCGUGCAAGAUAAAUGA